rnacentral:rRNA from 1 species
UACGUAGGGGGCAAGCGUUAUCCGGAUUUACUGGGUGUAAAGGGAGCGUAGACGGAUAAGCAAGUCUGAUGUGAAAAUCCGGGGCCCAACCCCGGAAUUGCAUUGGAAACUGCAUAUCUAGAGUGUCGGAGAGGCAAGUGGAAUUCCUGGUGUAGCGGUGAAAUGCGUAGAUAUCAGGAGGGACACCAGUGGCGAAGGCGGCUUGCUGGACGAUGACUGACGUUGAGGCUCGAAAGCGUGGGGAGCAAACAGG